rnacentral:rRNA from 1 species
UACGGAGAGUGCAAGCGUUAUCCGGAUUCACUGGGUUUAAAGGGUGCGUAGGUGGGUUGGUAAGUCAGUGGUGAAAUCUCCGAGCUUAACUUGGAAACUGCCAUUGAUACUAUCAGUCUUGAAUAUUGUGGAGGUCAGCGGAAUAUGUCAUGUAGCGGUGAAAUGCUUAGAUAUGACAUAGAACACCAAUUGCGAAGGCAGCUGGCUACGCAUAUAUUGACACUGAGGCACGAAAGCGUGGGGAUCAAACAGG